rnacentral:rRNA from 1 species
GACGAACGCUGGCGGCGUGCUUAAUACAUGCAAGUCGAACGGAAAGGCCCUGCUUUUGUGGGGUGCUCGAGUGGCGAACGGGUGAGUAACACGUGAGUAACCUGCCCUUGACUUUGGGAUAACUUCAGGAAACUGGGGCUAAUACCGGAUAGGAGCUCCUGCUGCAUGGUGGGGGUUGGAAAGUUUCGGCGGUUGGGGAUGGACUCGCGGCUUAUCAGCUUGUUGGUGGGGUAGUGGCUUACCAAGGCUUUGACGGGUAGCCGGCCUGAGAGGGUGACCGGCCACAUUGGGACUGAGAUACGGCCCAGACUCCUACGGGAGGCAGCAGUGGGAAAUAUUGCGCAAUAGGCGGAAGCCUGAUGCAGCAACGUCGCGUGCGGGAUGACGGCCUUCGAGUGGUAAACCGCUUUCGCCUGUGACGAAGCGUGAGUGACGGUAAUGGGUAAAGAAGCACCGGCUAACUACGUG